rnacentral:misc_RNA from 1 species
AGCAGCCGCGGUAAUUCCAGCUCCAAUAGCGUAUAUUAAAGUUGUUGCAGUUAAAAAGCUCGUAGUUGAAUUUCGGGAUUGGCGUAUCGGUCGUGCCUCACGGGGUAUGAACUGGUGCAGUCAAUUUCUCACCUUCUGGAGAACCGCGAUGUCCUUAAUUGGAUGCCGUGGGGAACCAGGACCUUUACUUUGAAAAAAUUAGAGUGUUUAAAGCAGGCAUUUUUGCUUGAAUACAUUAGCAUGGAAUAAUAAAAUAGGACGGCAUGGUUCUAUUUUGUUGGUUUCUAGGACCACCGUAAUGAUUAAUAGGGAUAGUUGGGGGCAUUAGUAUUCAAUUGUCAGAGGUGAAAUUCUUGGAUUUAUUGAAGACUAACUACUGCGAAAGCAUUUGCCAAGGAUGUUUUCAUUAAUCAAGAACGAAAGUUAGGGGAUCGAAGACGAUCAGAUACCGUCGUAGUCUUAACCAUAAACUAUGCCG